rnacentral:rRNA from 1 species
UACGAAGGGGGCUAGCGUUGCUCGGAAUCACUGGGCGUAAAGCGCACGUAGGCGGGUCUUUAAGUCGGAGGUGAAAUCCUGGAGCUCAACUCCAGAACUGCCUUCGAUACUGAGGAUCUCGAGUCCGGGAGAGGUGAGUGGAACUGCGAGUGUAGAGGUGAAAUUCGUAGAUAUUCGCAAGAACACCAGUGGCGAAGGCGGCUUACUGGACCGGUUCUGACGCUGAGGCGCGAAAGCGUGGGUAGCGAACAGG